GGACUGUCCUGCAGGGUGAUGGAUGUGGGGGCUGGUGUGACUAGAACAAGUGGCAAAUGUGGGUGCCCAGCACACACUUGCAACUCGGGCUCAAAACCCUAACCCUGAGGUCCAAACGCUGGGCUCGGACUUUGUGUCAUCAGAGGCACCUCAGAAAGCUGUUUGGUCACCUCUCACUUGACUUCAGUGCCUCUU